rnacentral:rRNA from 1 species
GACGAACGCUGGCGGCGUGCCUAAUACAUGCAAGUCGAACGCAGUGGGGAUGGGUGAGUAACACGUGGGUAACCUCCCAUCAGAGGGGAUAACACGUGGCAACAGGUGCUAAACCGAUACUGAUGGAUGGACCCGCGGUGCAUUAGCCAGGUGGUGAGGUAGCGGCUCACCAAGGCGACGAUGCAUAGCCGACCGGAGAGGGUGAUCGGCCACACUGGAACUGAGACACGGCCCAGACUCCUACGGGAGGCAGCAGUGGGGAAUCUUGGGCAAUGGACGAAAGUCUGACGGAGCAAUGCCGCGUGAGUGAAGAAGGUUUUCGGAUCGUAAAACACUGUUGUUGGAGAAGCGGUAUCUGACGAAGAAGCCACGGCUAACUACGUGCCAGCAGCCGCGGUAAUUC